GUUGUUUGUACUGAUAUUACUCUUGUUAUGUCAUUUGGCAUAGUGUAGUUGCAGGAUUCAGUAAUGUUUCAUAGGAGAAGAGGAUCACGAUCGUUGACAACUUCUACUCCUCUUUCCUUGUGGUGGGAGCUGUGUUGUAUUUUUUUCAUAAUUUUGUACUCUCUUAGAAGCUCCUUUAACUAUUUUGACUAGUUCCUUGAGGAGAGUUCAAUGUAAUUCUUACUAAGUGUAC
rnacentral:lncRNA from 1 species